GACGAACGCUGGCGGCGUGCCUAAUACAUGCAAGUUGAGCGCUGAAGGUUGGUACUUGUACCAACUGGAUGAGCAGCGCACGGGUGAGUAACGCGUGGGGAAUCUGCCUUUGAGCGGGGGACAACAUUUGGAAACGAAUGCUAAUACCGCAUAAAAACUUUAAACACAAGUUUUAAGUUUGAAAGAUGCAAUUGCAUCACUCAAAGAUGAUCCCGCGUUGUAUUAGCUAGUUGGUGAGGUAAAGGCUCACCAAGGCGAUGAUACAUAGCCGACCUGAGAGGGUGAUCGGCCACAUUGGGACGGAGACACGGCCCAAACGCCUACGGGAGGCAGCAGUAGGGAAUCUUCGGCAAUGGACGAAAGUCUGACCGAGAAACGCCGCGUGAGUGAAGAAGGGUUUCGGAUCGUAAAACUCUGUUGGUAGAGAAGAACGUUGGUGAGAGUGGAAAGCUCAUCAAGUGACGGUAACUACCCAGAAAGGGACGGCUAACUACGUG
rnacentral:rRNA from 1 species